rnacentral:tRNA from 1 species
GCCUAGUUAGCUCGGUGGGUAGAGCAUCUGCCUUCUAAGCGCUAGGCCGCGGGUUCGAUUCCCGCUGGGCG